GCCUGGCUGGUUCAGUCGGUUGAGCAUCCGACUUCGGCUCAGGUCAUGAUCUCGCGGUCUGUGGGUUUGAGCCCCACGUCGGGCU
rnacentral:tRNA from 1 species